rnacentral:rRNA from 1 species
GAUGAACGCUAGCGGCAGGCUUAAUACAUGCAAGUCGAGGGACAGCACAGGUAGCAAUACUGGGUGGUAACCGGCAAACGGGUGCGGAACACGUACACAACCUUCCUUUAAAUGGGGGAUAGCCCAGAGAAAUUUGGAUUAAUACCCCGUAAUAUAGUUGAAUGGCAUCAUUUGAUUAUUAUAGCUACGGCGCUUAAUGAUGGGUGUUCGGCUGAUUAGAUAGUUGGCGGGGUAACGGCCCACCAAGUCUACGAUCAGUAGCUGAUGUGAGAGCAGGAUCAGCCGCGCGGGCACUGGGAAGCGGGCCCGACUGCUACGGGAGGCAGCAGUAAGGAAUAUUGGUCAAUGGACGGAAGUCUGAACCAGCCAUGCCGCGUGAAGGAUUAAGGUCCUGUGGAUUGUAAGCUUCUUUUAUUUGGGACGAAAAAGGGCCUUUCUAGGUCAACUGACGGUACCAGAUGAAUAAGCACCGGCUAACUCCGUGCCAGCCGCCGCAGUAACAC